GUCAGGUCUAACUGUUAGUGUUGGUUCCGUUUGGAAACAAAGAGAGAAGUAGCUCUGGAAAUAACCUGCAGCACAUGAAACCUGGAGGCAAGAGGCGCGGUGAUGCUGACAGAGAAGGGGACUUGGAGCGAAACCCACCACAGCCCCGCUCGUGAGAGAGGUAUUCCAGUAAUGGACACUCCCCACGGAAACAGGAGGGCUGAGACAGGGGUCUUUCUCGUGCAUCCCCUCCUGUGGUUCGAAACGGAUCCAUACAACAUGGACCUUCAGAUGAAACUCUACGAUCACGGACUCUUUUCUGCGGGAAUCAACUUAUAAUAACGCGAGGGGAGCAAUCAUACUGGAAGUAAACAAAAUUAUAAGCAGAAUAAUUGUUUUUCUUAAAUAGACAACACGAAUUAAUAAUUAAACAUAUUGCAAUAAUAAAAUAUAAUUCAAUUAAAUUAAAUGUAAAAAAAAGAUCCUGAUAAUAUUAUACAUACUAUGCAAUUUAAUCAAAACUGAAACCCCAUAUUUUUCAAUUCAAAGUAAGACAAUAAAUUAGAAUAAUACUAAUAAUUAAAAAACAUUAAAACAAUAACAAUAACCAAAUGAAACAAUGUCAGAAAAAGUUCUAUGUUCGUUAUGUGUAAAAAGGUCACAACCUGCUCACAAACUCAUUUGGAAGUUGUGCGUCAGCAGCAGUCAAACAGAAGAAAGGUCACUCAGAAUCAUUGUUCUAUUCUAGUUCUAAACCGGUGGGGGUUUCCCCUCCUACAUUUUUUUAUCAAAUUUAUGAUAUUAUAACCCUACGCUAUCAAACCUUUGUUGUCACUAAUAAAACAAACUUCAGGAAAA